UGACACUCUAGAUGAUGAAAUUUAACUAUGAGUUUAAGGUAGAAUUGAAGAAAAUUUCAUGGAAAUUUUUCUUCUUUUUUUUUUUCUCUCUUUUCCUCUCUUUCUCUCGCUAGAAUUCUAACCUUGUGUCAGGACCUACGGGCCAAGGAAUAGUCUUAGGUAGACAGUUUCUAUGGGGUGUAGGCGGCCUCCCAAAAGGUAACGGAGGUGUGCAAAGGUUUCUUUGGGCCAGAUGGAGAUUGGCCCUCGAAUGCAAAGGUAGAAGGGAGCUUGACUGCAAGACCCACCCGCUGAGUAGGGACGAAAGUCGACCUUAGUGAUCCGACAGUGCCGAGUGGAAGGGUAGUCGCUCAACGAAUACAAGUUACUCUAGGGAUAACAGGCUGAUCUUUCCCAAUAGCUCACAUCGACAGGAAGGUUUAGCACCUCGAUGUCGGCUCUUCGUCACUUGGGGCUGUAGUAGGUUCCAAGGGUUAGGCUGUUCGCCCAUUAAAACGGUACGUGAGCUAGGUUCAGAACGUCGUGAGACAGUUCGAUCCAUA
rfam:Gossypium raimondii chromosome 2, whole genome shotgun sequence.